GGGCAAGUGGCGGAAUUGGUAUACGCGCUAGUCUUAGGAACUAGUUCUUCACGGAUUGAGGGUUCGAGUCCCUCCUUGCCCA
rnacentral:tRNA from 1 species